rnacentral:rRNA from 1 species
GCAUUUCAGUUUGCUUGCAAACUGGAGAUGGCGACCGGCGCACGGGUGAGUAACACGUAUCCAACCUGCCGAUAACUCGGGGAUAGCCUUUCGAAAGAAAGAUUAAUACCCGAUGGUAUAAUUAGACCGCAUGGUCUUGUUAUUAAAGAAUUUCGGUUAUCGAUGGGGAUGCGUUCCAUUAGGCAGUUGGUGAGGUAACGGCUCACCAAACCUUCGAUGGAUAGGGGUUCUGAGAGGAAGGUCCCCCACAUUGGAACUGAGACACGGUCCAAACUCCUACGGGAGGCAGCAGUGAGGAAUAUUGGUCAAUGGGCGCAGGCCUGAACCAGCCAAGUAGCGUGAAGGAUGACUGCCCUAUGGGUUGUAAACUUCUUUUAUAUGGGAAUAAAGUUUUCCACGUGUGGAAUUUUGUAUGUACCAUAUGAAUAAGGAUCGGCUAACUCCGUGCCAGCAGCCGCGGUAAUACGGAGGAUCCGAGCGUUAUCCGGAUUUAUUGGGUUUAAAGGGAGCGUAGGUGGACAGUUAAGUCAGUUGUGAAAGUUUGCGGCUCAACCGUAAAAUUGCAGUUGAUACUGGCUGUCUUGAGUACAGUAGAGGUGGGCGGAAUUCGUGGUGUAGCGGUGAAAUGCUUAGAUAUCACGAAGAACUCCGAUUGCGAAGGCAGCUCACUGGACUGCAACUGACACUGAUGCUCG